rnacentral:lncRNA from 1 species
GUCAAUGUGGAGGCUAUAUACAGGGGGUACCAGUACAGAGUCAAUGUGGAGGCUAUAUACAGGGGGUACCGGUACAGAGUCAAUGUGGAGGCUAUAUACAGGGGGUACCGGUACAGAGUCAAUGUGGAGGCUAUAUACAGGGGUUACCGGUACAGAGUCAAUGUGGAGGCUAUAUACAGGGUAUUACGGUACAGAGUCAAUGUGGAGGCUAUAUACAGGGGGUACCGGUACAGAGUCAAUGUGGAGGCUAUAUACAGGGGGUACCGGUACAGAGUCAAUGUGGAGGCUAUAUACAGGGUAUUACGGUACAGAGUCAAUGUGGAGGCUAUAUACAGGGGGUACCGGUACAGAGUCAAUGUGGAGGCUAUAUACAGGGGGUACCAGUACAGAGUCAAUGUGGAGGCUAUAUACAGGGGGGACCGGUACAGAGUCAAUGUGGAGGCUAUAUACAGGGGGUACCAGUACAGAGUCAAUGUGGAGGCUAUAUACAGGGGGUACCAGUACAGAGUCAAUGUGGAGGCUAUAUACAGGGGGUACCGGUACAGAGUCAAUGUGGAGGCUAUAUACAGGGGGUACCGGUACAGAGUCAAUGUGGAGGCUAUAUACAGGGGUUACCGGUACAGAGUCAAUGUGGAGGCUAUAUACAGGGUAUUACGGUACAGAGUCAAUGUGGAGGCUAUAUACAGGGGGGUACCGGUACAGAGUCAAUGUGGAGGCUAUAUACAGGGUAUUACGGUACUGAGUCAAUGUGGAGGCUAUAUACAGG